rnacentral:rRNA from 1 species
AGCCCCGUACACAAAAAUGCACAUAUUGUGAGCUCGAUGAGUAGGGCGGGACACGUGGUAUCCUGUCUGAAUAUGGGGGGACCAUCCUCCAAGGCUAAAUACUCCUGACUGACCGAUAGUGAACCAGUACCGUGAGGGAAAGGCGAAAAGAACCCCGGCGAGGGGAGUGAAAAAGAACCUGAAACCGUGUACGUACAAGCAGUGGGAGCACGCUUAGGCGUGUGACUGCGUACCUUUUGUAUAAUGGGUCAGCGACUUAUAUUCUGUAGCAAGGUUAACCGAAUAGGGGAGCCGAAGGGAAACCGAGUCUUAACUGGGCGUUAAGUUGCAGGGUAUAGACCCGAAACCCGGUGAUCUAGCCAUGGGCAGGUUGAAGGUUGGGUAACACUAACUGGAGGACCGAACCGACUAAUGUUGAAAAAUUAGCGGAUGACUUGUGGCUGGGGGUGAAAGGCCAAUCAAACCGGGAGAUAGCUGGUUCUCCCCGAAAGCUAUUUAGGUAGCGCCUCGUGAAUUCAUCUCCGGGGGUAGAGCACUGUUUCGGCAAGGGGGUCAUCCCGACUUACCAACCCGAUGCAAACUGCGAAUACCGGAGAAUGUUAUCACGGGAGACACACGGCGGGUGCUAACGUCCGUCGUGAAGAGGGAAACAACCCAGACCGCCAGCUAAGGUCCCAAAGUCAUGGUUAAGUGGGAAACGAUGUGGGAAGGCCCAGACAGCCAGGAUGUUGGCUUAGAAGCAGCCAUCAUUUAAAGAAAGCGUAAUAGCUCACUGGUCGAGUCGGCCUGCGCGGAAGAUGUAACGGGGCUAAACCAUGCACCGAAGCUGCGGCAGCGACGCUUAUGCGUUGUUGGGUAGGGGAGCGUUCUGUAAGCCUGUGAAGGUGUGCUGUGAGGCAUGCUGGAGGUAUCAGAAGUGCGAAUGCUGACAUAAGUAACGAUAAAGCGGGUGAAAAGCCCGCUCGCCGGAAGACCAAGGGUUCCUGUCCAACGUUAAUCGGGGCAGGGUGAGUCGACCCCUAAGGCGAGGCCGAAAGGCGUAGUCGAUGGGAAACAGGUUAAUAUUCCUGUACUUGGUGUUACUGCGAAG